ensembl:snRNA U2 U2 spliceosomal RNA
CUAAUUUUUUGAGAAGGACCUGUAUAUGGAUUUGAUAAAAAAAAAAAUCUGUUCUUAUCAGUUUAAUAUCUGAUAUGUCCCCUAUCUGGGGACUACAUAUUAAAUUGAUUUUUGGAUCACGGAGCUGGAGCCGGGGCUUGCUCUGUUCACUCCACGCAUCGGCCUGGUAUUGCAGUGUCUCCAGGAACAGUGUGCAUCCC